UACGUAGGGUGCAAGCGUUGUCCGGAAUUAUUGGGCGUAAAGAGCUCGUAGGCGGUCUGUCGCGUCGGCUGUGAAAACCCGAGGCUCAACCUCGGGCCUGCAGUCGAUACGGGCAAACUAGAGUACUGCAGGGGAGACUGGAAUUCCUGGUGUAGCGGUGAAAUGCGCAGAUAUCAGGAGGAACACCGGUGGCGAAGGCGGGUCUCUGGGCAGUAACUGACGCUGGAGGAGCGAAAGCCGUGGGGAGCGAACAGGA
rnacentral:rRNA from 1 species